ACUAAAGCACAUAAAAAGUACUUAAUUAUAAUUUUAACUGUAGAGUGUUAUUUAAUGUAAAUAUAUUUUAAAUGUACUAAAAAUGUGUCAUUACAAAAAUAUUUAAAUACAUGACAUACAAGUUUCAAUAGAAAUGACAUUAAAAUAUAAUUUAGUUUACCAUAAAUGCUUAUCAGUACAUUCGGCAGCACACUUAAACAUAUUUAAAAGACAAUAGAAGUAAAUUACAUUUAAUUUUGUACUUAAGUCCUACUUAAUAAGCAGUAAAAAAGCACACCAAAGUUAAGCUAUUUGCAUUCAUUUAAUUGCAGUUGAUAUGCAAUUAAGUGUCUGAAAACAUUGCAUUCAGUUAACACAUAUAUUUUUAAAGUAUAUUAAGUACUUUUUUUUAAAACUACAUCUAAAUCACAAGAGCAUGUUUCACAUUUCAAUGCUUUCUGCUUCACGCUUGACAGUACAAAGCCAUUUCUGGUCUUACACGUCUAACUGCAGCUUGCACAGAACAUGUGGUAAAGUUAACUAGUAUAAAAUAUAUAUUUUCAUCCAUAUGAAAUAAAAAAAGAGCUGCUGAUGCAGCAGAACAAUGUGUUGUUUGUUUGCUUGCGUGUGUUUGUGUGUGUGCUUAAAAAAGCUCUGCUGUAUGUGAAGAACUUUGACCGAAACAAACACUGAAGACGACAUCAUGACACUACAUUCUGGCAUAUUAGUGACAGAAUGACAGACAUAACAAAUGUCCCAACUGAUAAACUAUUUUAAUGUAAUAAACACACAGAGAAACAUCAUAAUGGGCUGUAGACUGCUGAGCAAAUGACCUCUUCCAAAACAGAAAACCUCAAGUUAUCACAUCCUAAAACAGAAACAGUCACACAUACACCAAACCACGGCCUAUCCAUCACACACACUUAUCACUCAUUGUCCUUUCCUGUAUUGACAGAACAAACACACACAUUUCUGCUCAAGCAGUCUUAGCAAGGUGGCCAACAGGAAACCAUGGCAACACACUCAACCUCUCCAUAUGGAAACACAAAUUAUAUUCCAUUACACUGUAAAAUAAAUUGUAAUAGUAACUGUAAGAUUAUAAAAAUGCUACAUUAAAAACUUGUUAAUUUAUUAAUAACAAGUUGUCUUACUGACUGUAAUAGAUUUAACUUUACAUUUCAUGUAAUUACAGUAAAAUAUUGUUAAAUAUACCAUUUUUGGGAGUAAAAAAGAACAAAUCAUCCUAUAAUUUAAGGUGAAAAGCCAUAAACUGACAUUCCCAGAAUUCCCAGUGUGACACUUAACAUUUGAUGGUUUUUAAUUUUAAUUAUUGUUUCUUUUCAGUUUUUUGUUAUCAGUUAUGUACAAUAUGUUACAUCUUAUGUUAAGUUAAUGCUUAUUGUGUUAUUUUAGUGUCGUGUGUUAACAUGAAGGUCUUUUGUAUUUGUGUUCAUGACACUGUGUACACAAUAUAUUAAUAUUUACCUCAGCUUGUGGAAAGCUACUUGUGAUGAACAUUGAUUCAUCAUGUGUCUUUCUCUUUAUACUUUAUUAUCGUGGAUGUAAAAAGUACAAAACAGAUUUUACUAGCAGUGUGGCCUUGCAAAUUCAGCAGAAAAGGGCUGAUUGGAUUUAACGGUUUAAAAUGUUGUUGUUGUUUUUUUCGUUUUUUUGUAAAUUACAGUUUUAAAUUGUAAAAUUUACAGAUUUUUUUUUUUUUUUUUCGGUAAAAAUCACAGGAUUUUUUUUUUUACAGUGUACAAAGAAUUCCACAAAAAUGAAAUGCACAAAUGUACACAUAAAACAAUUCACAAAACAAUAUACACUGUAAAAAGUGGUAACCUGCAAUUGUUACCAUAAAUAGCUUUUUUUACUAAAAAAAACCCCCCAUAAUUUUGUUGGUAUAAAUCAAUGUAUUUAGGUUGCUUAAAUAUUUAGGGAAUAUUAAAUAAUAUAUUUAGGCAAUAUUAAAUCAUAUUUUUGACUUGAAUAAAACUAGCUAAUUUAGACGUUAUCAUUUAGGUUACCAUUUUUUCAGUGUAGAAACAUCUAAAAUAUUACAAAUAACAAGCCAUUUCACUCUCCAAGCAUACCAAAUGUAUUUGAGCUCUGACUGGCUAAUUUAGCCUCAGUACUCUGUUUGACAGAAACCACCGAAAAUACAAAGAAAAUCUGUAUUCUUGUAGACAGUAGUGCAACCUUAAAUAAGGCAUCUUUGGUAAUGAUACACAGCCACGCACACACAAGCCUCCAUUAAGCUACAUGAAGCGUGUUUUAUAUAGGAUCUCAUUGUAUGGUGGAAUGUGUGCGUGUGUAGACUGCAGAGAUGUGGGCGGACACUUUCAAUUACAGCCCUCAUAGAGAGAGAGAAGAGAAUAAUAGUUGAAAUAGAAGAGCCGCAGUGCUGAGAAAACGAGUGCAGGGCAAGAAACAGAUGGAGUCACAAGGUGAGGGAAAGAGGGAUUUGCACACAGAAGAAAAGAGAAAUAGUCUCCAUGUCAAGAGACGCUUAGGCCCCGUUUACACCUGGUAUUAAGAUGGGUUUUGGUCGAUCGGAUCACAAGUGGACGACGCUAAGUACAGGUGUAAACGGGGUGUAAAAUGUUUUGAGCUUGUCAACUUUCAACCACUUCCAGAGCAUAGGUGUAGCUUGACGUUUGAGCUUGGGGGGUCGAUUUGGUUAGUCACACUUUUAAAUACAUUUUAGCUUUUCUAUAGUAAGCUUUUUAUUUUGUAUUAUUACUUAGUAUUUUUGCUGUGCUAGCAAUAAACAUGUUGAAAAUAAUGCACUAUAAACAUGUUUGUCAACAGAAUCUCAACCUACUGUAGGCUUUUAUUAAGCAAAUCAAUGAGUGAAUUACUCACCCACUGCUUUAAAACAGAUAUCUGUUGGGCAUGAUUCAAGUUAAAUGCACAAUAGCAGGCACACUUCAUAUUUAGUAAAUCGUACUGAAUAUGGCCGAUUAAUCAGUUUAUAUUCUAAAAUCCAUGUUUAAGUUUUGUUCUGUUUUGUUGUUUGUCCUAACCCUAGACCCAAGUUUGGUUUGAGGAUGAAAAUUAUACUAAACACAAUGUUCUCUCACCAUUCCUGAUUUCUAACACUCACUCACCGUGUUCAGCGUGGUCUUGAGGCUAUCAGAGCAGAAACGAAAGCGGAUGCUUUCCAUGUUUUUCCGUAGUCUCCUGUGCGUUCAUAUGCAAAUUGCAUGAGCUUAUUUUGUCCACCUGAUAGAAAGAUCUGAAAACCCAUACAUUUACCAGCACAUAGAUCUUCCCCUCAAAGAAAUCAGGACAGAAGUGGUUGAAAGUGGACAAAAUAGACGGAUUAAAACACCAGGUGUAAACAGGUAUGUGUCUGCCUCGUACUUGUGAUCCGAUCGACCAAAUGCAUCUUAUGCUGCCUUCAAGUGCUAUAGAAAAUUUGAUUUGACUUCCCACUUCUGAAGUCGUGAUUAUGACUUCUGUUCUGUGUGGACUGGUGAUGCAAAUUCUGCCCUAUAACCGUUCAUAGAUCGUUAUUAAAGGUGGAGUAAGUAGUUUUUCAAAAACGCUGUUGGACAUCGUUGAUAUUUGAAAUCAACCCAAACAAACCCACCCCUCUCUUUAUGGCUCCGCAUCCAAAACUCACCCUCCAAUUCUAACCACCCUGCUCUGAGUCGGUCUCGAACCCUGGCCUGUUCGCUGCUGGCAGGUGAGGCAAGUGCACUGACAAUGAUGCUAAACACCGCAUUCUCUAGCGGUGGUCAGUGUGCAGUGGUUUACCUGCACAACUCUCACUAUCUGGCCUCUGUUACACAUGCAAUGCGAGAGUGGAUGUCUGUUUAUCACAGCUGACGUGCAACAAAAUGCUUCAUGAAAAAUAAAGCGCAGAUGACGAACAAACAACAGGGUAGCACAAAAAAUGAACAUACAGCACACAAGAGUAAAUACAAACAAGAGUUCGUUGUUAGUCACCAACAGCACAGCAGCUCCAGACAAUCAAUGACACUCAAACCCAGUGUUACUCACGUGUGAAGCGGAAUCAAAGCAGCCUCCGCGUCUGUUUUCAGAUUUUCGCGCUUAGCUCUCUCCAGAGCUGGAAAGCUUUUCUAAUAUUAAAGCGGGUCCUAAAGUGUUUGCCCAGUCAUAAACCUUCAUUCCAGUGAUAUUCUUUUAAGCUCUUUUGUAUUGUCUCAUCUCUCUUUCUGCAGUUUUUUUUUUUUUUUUUCAAAUCUCCAUUUUGCUCGUUCUGUCUCCUCGACCGUUAUACGCCCCCUAAUGCUGAUUGGUUACACGUUUGUUGUUAGUGUCGGGCUGUCUAACUUCCAAACAGUGUUUUUGAAAAACUACUUACCCCACCUUUAACUGACUAACCGUUAAACAAAUCCACCUUUUCCCUAACGAGCCUACUGCGUUUUAGAUCAUGGGAGGAGUUCCACUCAUAAAGACUGAAACAAAUAAUUUCAAAUCAUAAGGUUGCGCUACAAAUAAUCCUUAUCCAUCAAUUUGACUGAAUCAGCAGUAAAAUUUCGUUCAUGUUUUGUUAUUUAAUGGUAUUUUAAUGUAACAAGAAUAUCUAUGACAAGAGCUCUUUUCAGUCGCUGCAUUCUUUUCCUCCUGAUUAUUUUCUCUUUUUUUUCCAUUUUGUAUUCCGCUGUAACAGCAUGAAGAAAAAUACAUAUACUGUGCAUUUGUGGCCUGCUCUCUCGAUUUAAUUUACAAUAUAUCCCAUGAAUAAUUCACUGGAAUGGACUCUCGGUUUUUUCUCCCCAAAUCCUUACAUCUCUUUCUAGGUUUAUCACAUGGAAAUGUAACUGUCUCCCCUUUUCACUUCUAAUCCCUAUUAGCAGUGUUUACUGGAAUGUUUCUAAAGCAGGUAGACAAUAUCACUUUGAAAUAUCACUCAAUGUUCCAGUUAAUGAACAUUUUUGAUUAAGGCGACGUAUUACACAAUACAGACAUACAUCACUACAGGGAUAUUUAACACGUCUUUAAUAUUGCUGUGGAAAUAAUUGUGGUCUGUUGUAGUAAUGUUUUUAUGCUUUUACACUUUUAAAUUAGGCUUCGAUGGUUGAAGGGUAAGUAGAAUAAUGUCAUCUAUUUGAACCGAGUUUUUGAAAAUGCGUAUUCAUAGAGCAAAUCUUUGUGUAAAUCCAACACAUGACCUAAAAGACAAGACAUGGGCUAAAUGUUUUUUUUUUUUUUUCAAACAGCAAUACGUCAACAUGCCAUUUGUCAUAUGCCAAACUCACCCUUCAUCUGAAAAGGUCAACUAUAGUAUAGUAUGAGAGCAUUUACUGUAUUGGCAGCAAACUCAUAUUGGAUACAUGCAAUUAUAAUGUAUUUUACAUCAGUUUCAUAAAGCUAAUGUAAGUGUAUUUUCUGAUGUGAUAACUAUAGCCUUUUUUGCAUUGUAGAAGUAAAAUAUCAUCCCAUAUCCUGUUAACUGUCAAUGUCCCGGUAGCGGGACACUUGGCGCGCUUUUUUAUUGCCUUUUUCCCUAUCACAUAUAUCAUUUGAAAGCUUAAACACUCAAAAUUCAUCUUGUGACAUUGCAUUACCAUGGAAAUUGUACUUUAAAAUCUUUUAGCUGACUCAAUUUGUGAUAUCAAAUUUGGAACUCAACUUGAUUAGACAUAUGGCUUUGAUUUUCUAGCAAUUUUAAAUAGCAAAUUAUUUUGUAAAAUAUGUAUUUUGUAUUCAAAUAAAUAGUUCAAUACAUUUGCAUUACGGUAAAAACAGAAAAAAGGGCAAUAGAAAAGCACACCAAGAGUCACACUACCGGGAUACUGACAGUUAGCAGGCUACAGAAAUGCGUCAAAUUUCUGAAUAAAACAGCUUUCUAGUUUGUCAUCUGUCUCUGAUGCUUUUUCAUGGGGAAUUACAACACUCGUGCAUGUGUAUGUGUUUGUGUAUUGUAUGUGUGUGUGUGUUUGUGUAAUGUGUGAGUGUGUCUGUAUUGUGUCAUCUGUAAGCAGCUGUUUUCAGAAGCUUCUGUUGCUUGGUGACAGAACCCCAGAACUAUUGAUCCUCACAGGGAUUUAAUCGAAGGUUAUGAGUGAGUGUGUGUGUUUGUCCGGUGUUUUAUGGCAGAGGUGUUUUGAAUAUUUCAGUCCCUCCUGCAGAGUGUGUGUCCUGACGGCUCAGGGGUUGGAAGAGAGGGUACAUUCAACUAAUAAAUAUAACAUCAUCUGUCUGUCUUUCUUUCAUUCAUUCUCUAUCUCUCUCUCAUGAUUCGCUACAAUAAGAAUGUUGAUCUAAUCAGACACACAGCGCUCAUUAGAGGAGGAAAUAACAUCACUCACACAGAAGCUGUCUUUCAGAUACACAUACGAGUGUGAUAUUAUCGGUCACUGAAGUGACAAAGCAAUGAUAGCUCAACACUGAUGAUGCAAAUCUCAAUGCAACUAUUAAUCUUACUCUCAUUAUUGGAUGUCUCAUCAUUGCUCAUCAAAGUCAUGGUUUCACCUAAGGAAACCUCAGUGGAGAAAGAAACAGGAUGAAAGUGAAGUGAGAGACUCUAUAUGCUAUUUAGAGGAAUGGUAUCUGUGUUAGACAACAAAUUCAUGAAACACAGGGUUUCAAGUUUACAAAAUGAAACAAAUCUAACUCGAUUUAACAGUUUCACAGUGCUCGCUACUUUAUAUAGUGCUACUGUAUAUAGCACUAGAAGUGUGAGCACUGAGCAGCCAAUCAUGUGAAACACGAGUGAACAUGAUUCAUUUCUCUGCAGAAAAUGAAGAGAUAAUCCGUAUUUCAGAGUCAGAAUUAGAAAGAGAUUUAUUGCCAAGUAUAUUUGCACACCCAAGGAAUUUGUUUAGGUGACAGAAGAAGCUUUCCAGUGCACAGAGACAGCAACAGUACACAGAUGUUGAUGACGCUGACGUUCCCCUCCAUCCUCCCCACCACAACCCAGUCCAGGUCGACCCAGUCCAUCCAUCGGGGGUAGGCUCCGCCCCUGCCUUCAUCUUCAGCCAGGAUCAGCCAAAUCUGCAUCCCCAGGAUUCGGAGGAAGGAUGGGGCCUACGCCAAAGAACUUCAGUACAACUAAGCAUGAAACGUUGUACCAUGUUUAGUUGUACUGUCCGUCACUACCAUCUGUUUAUACUUUAUGGAAUAAAUAACAUGUAAAUGUU